rnacentral:rRNA from 1 species
CGUAGGAGGCGAGCGUUAUCCGGAUUCACUGGGCGUAAAGCGCGUGCAGGUGGCGCGGUAAGUUGGGUGUGAAAUCUCCCGGCUCAACUGGGAGAGGUCAUUCAAUACUACCGUGCUUGAGAGCAGAAGAGGAAGAUGGAAUUCCCGGUGUAGUGGUGAAAUGCGUAGAUAUCGGGAGGAACACCAGUGGCGAAGGCGAUCUUCUGGUCUGUUUCUGACACUCAUACGCGACAGCUAGGGUAGUAAACGGGAUUAGAGACCCCGGUAAUCCUAACCGUAAACGAUGUGAACUUGGCGUUGGUGGGUUAAACUCCAUCAGUGCCGCAGCAAACGCGAUAAGUUCACCGCCUGGGGACUACGGCCGCAAGGUUA